rnacentral:rRNA from 1 species
GACGAACGCUGGCGGCGUGCCUAAUACAUGCAAGUCGAACGCAGUGGGGACGGGUGAGUAACACGUGGGUAACCUCCCAUCAGAGGGGAUAACACGUGGAAACAGGUGCUAAAUCGAUAUUGAUGGAUGGACCCGCGGGGCAUUAGCUAGUUGGUGAGGUAACGGCUCACCAAGGCCACGAUGCAUAGCCGGCCUGCGAGGGUGAUCGGCCACACUGGGACUGAGACACGGCCCAGACUCCUCCGGGUGGCAGCAGUAGGGAAUCUGCGGCAAUGGACGAAAGUCUGACCGGGCUACGCCGCGUGAGUGAAGAAGGUUAUCGGAGCGUAAAACUCUGUUGUUAGAGAAGCGGUAUCUAACCAGAAAGCCACGGCUAACUACGUGCCAGCAGCCGCGGUAAUAC